UACGUAGGUGGCAAGCGUUAUCCGGAUUUACUGGGUGUAAAGGGCGUGUAGGCGGGACUGCAAGUCAGAUGUGAAAUUCCAGGGCUCAACCCUGGAACUGCAUUUGAAACUGUUUCCCUUGAGUGUCGGAGAGGUAAUCGGAAUUCCUAGUGUAGCGGUGAAAUGCGUAGAUAUUAGGAGGAACACCAGAGGCGAAGGCGACUCACUGGACUGUAACUGAUGCUGAGGCUCGAAAGCGUGGGGAGCAAACAGG
rnacentral:rRNA from 1 species